CACUGGUGGCGACCGGCGCACGGUGAGUAACACGUGUGCAACCAACCCGACCGGAGAUAACCCGCGGAAACGUGGACUAACAUCCCAUGAGACUCUAGAUCCGCAUGGCUCUAGAUUUAAAAUUCCGGUGGUACGGGACGGGCACGCGCGACAUUAGGUAGUUGGCGGGGUAAGGGCCCACCAAGCCGACGAUGUCUAGGGGUUCUGAGAGGAAGGUCCCCCACACUGGAACUGAGACACGGUCCAG
rnacentral:rRNA from 1 species